rnacentral:tRNA from 1 species
GUAAUGGCGAUUCAGUGGUAGAAUUCUCACCUUCUAUGCAAGAAAACCAAGUUUGAUUCCUGGCCAAUGCA